ACGGGGGGGGCAAGCGUUGUUCGGAAUUACUGGGCGUAAAGGGUUCGCAGGUGGCCGACUAAGUCAGACGUGAAAUCCCUCAGCUCAACUGGGGAACUGCGUCUGAGACUGGCCGGCUUGAGUGCAGGAGAGGAACGCGGAAUUCCAGGUGUAGCGGUGAAAUGCGUAGAUAUCUGGAGGAACACCGGUGGCGAAGGCGGCGUUCUGGACUGUAACUGACACUGAGAGACGAAAGCCAGGGGAGCAAACGGGA
rnacentral:rRNA from 1 species